AUUGAACGCUGGCGGCAUGCCUUACACAUGCAAGUCGAACGGCAGCACGGGAGCAAUCCUGGUGGCGAGUGGCGAACGGGUGAGUAAUAUAUCGGAACGUGCCCAGUAGUGGGGGAUAGCCCGGCGAAAGCCGGAUUAAUACCGCAUACGACCUGAGGGUGAAAGCGGGGGAUCGCAAGACCUCGCGCUAUUGGAGCGGCCGAUAUCAGAUUAGCUAGUUGGUGGGGUAAAGGCCUACCAAGGCUACGAUCUGUAGUUGGUCUGAGAGGACGACCAGCCACACUGGGACUGAGACACGGCCCAGACUCCUACGGGAGGCAGCAGUGGGGAAUUUUGGACAAUGGGCGCAAGCCUGAUCCAGCAAUGCCGCGUGCAGGAAGAAGGCCUUCGGUUGUAAACUGCUUUGUCUAGGAAGGAAAUCUUCUGGGCGUAAUACCCGGGACGGAUGACGGUACCUGAAGAAUAAGACACCGGCUAACUACGUGCCGGCAGCCGCGGUAACG
rnacentral:rRNA from 1 species